UUGUGGCUCUUACUUUGAUUUAAAUCUACAGCACUAAUGUACUGCAUAUCAUCUGAUUUCAGAAUCAAAGGGAUCUGCAGCUGGUUUGUACUUGGGUGGGAAACCACUUGGUACAAACCAGGGAGUCAUGGU
ensembl:rRNA 5S_rRNA 5S ribosomal RNA